ACUCAAAUGAAUAGACGGGGGUCCGCACAAGCGGUGGAACAUGUGGUUUAAUUCGACACUACGCGAGAAACCUUACCUAGGCUUGACAUGUAUAUGACUUCUAUAGAAAUAUGGCUUUCCAAGCGCAAGCUUGGACAUAUACACAGGUGCUGCAUGGCUGUCGUCAGCUCGUGUCGUGAGAUGUUGGGUUAAGUCCUUUAACGAGCGCAACUCCUAUCGCCAGUUGCUACCCGCAAGGGGCACUCUGGUGAGACUGCCUGGGAAACCAGGAGGAAGGUGGGAAUGACGUCAAGUCCUCAUGGCCCUUAUGCCUAGGGCGACACACGUGUUACAAUGGUCGGUACAAAGGGUUGCAAAUCCGCAAGGAGGAGCCAAUCUCAUAAAGCCGAUCUAAGUUCGGAUUGAGGUCUGCAACUCGACCUCAUGAAGUUGAAAUCGCUAGUAAUCGCGUAUCAGAACGACGCGGUGAAUACGUUCUCGGACCUUGUACACACCGCCCGU
rnacentral:rRNA from 1 species